rnacentral:piRNA from 1 species
ACGGAUCACAACGCAUUCAGUGUCGAUU